rnacentral:ncRNA from 2 species
CUCUUAUCAAGAGAGGUGGAGGGAAAGGGCCCUGUGAAACCCGGCAACCUGCAGUGAAAUGCGUGGUGCCAAUUCCUGCAACAUAUGGUUGCAAGAUAAGAG